AUCUUGCUGGAGAUUUCUGCCUGUCUGAGGACUUCUAAGGACCAGCCAAUCCCCAUGACUCCUGCAGCUACUGAUGCAGUUUUCCGAUGAAUAUCCCAGCUACUUUGUAGUAUUUUCAUCCAACCCAUACUUUCCUGGUGAAAGAUGCUAAAAAAGUUGCUAUGAAACCAUGGGUGUGAGCUGGGCUACCCGAAGCUGCGGUUUAGCUGAUGAUGCUCACCAAUGCUGCCAUCUACGGGAAAUUAUUCUCCAUUGCGGACCUUCAGGCACAUCUCACACUGCUGCACUGCCAUGGAAAUAGCUUCAUUUUUCUGUACAGUUUCAGUCAUCUCGCUUGCCAGAUAGGAAAUUCCCUCUAGUCAGAUGGAUUCCAGAUUUUCCUCCUGCAUUCCCCGUAAUGUGGGCUCCCCAGCAGCUCAAGUGUGACUGUGUGGAGAUUCUAUUUGCAACCACUGACUGGAAUUUUGCCAUCUGUAUCAAACCUAUGGUACACAGAGGAAAGAAGGCGAGUAUGUGAACAUCAGUUUGCAAUGAACUGAAGGCUGUGAUGAAAAGCCAAUUACCACGGGUGGGCAGAUGGAAGGACACCUGAGCUGUGCAAGGAUGCUUGGAGCAGCAUAGAGGCAUGUAAAGAUGCUGGAUUAAAUCACAGCACUUCUCUGUGAUGCAUUCAGCAUCUGUUCUUGCAUCCUCAUGAGACCAGCUCUGUUACACUAAUCCUGCAUUUGGAGAAGGAAUUUUGGGGUGCGCUUUGUCCUACACCACGACUAAAGCUCAGGGAACAAUGAUCAGAACCAACACGAUGGAUAAAAGAAGAGGGAAAUGCUACCAUUACCAACAGGCAGAAUAUGAGCAACUGGUCUUGGAGACGCCACUGAGUGCUACCUAUAGAGUCUGGCAGAUGGCCCAAGCUUUCUGAAGCGUGUCCUGCUUGGACACUGCUCCCUAGUCUGUUAAUUGGAGGAGGAAUGGGAUUGCCAAGCAAGAAUGCCAUACUCUCUGAAAAUAAACUUUCAUUCCAGUCCUGUGCUACUGCAAAGGAUGAACCUCCACAUGGCAUGAAGCUCAGUGGGCUAUGCCUGUGAAUAGUCCUCCAUCACAGCAAAGAACUUCUACCAAGGAAGACCAGCUGCUGGUUCUCCUGUCUGGAAGAACACUGAGAUUUCUCCAGGUUUAAAAUGCCACUUGGAAUCAGCCCUCCUUAAAGAAAGGAGGAAAUGUGAGGGAAGCCUGCACCUGGCAACCAUCGGGUCCCAAAAGAAUUCCUGAGCUUUUGGUCCCACUGCUUGAGAUGGACAGGGGUCUGUGGGGCACUGAGAAGAAAUCUCAACCGUGGCUGCAGAACCUACAGCGAGGCAGAUCUAUUAGGACAUGGCUGCUGUCUGGGGAACCUCUGAAAGGAAAAGCAACUCUUAAACAUCCAUUGGUUAAGCACUUGCAUGUGAUUUACAAGGGAAUGCCUUGUUGGAUCUACCUGUGUGUAGGUUGUAGCAACUUUAUUUCCUGUGGUAAUUUGUUGUUGGCACAAGGGAAAAAUGGAGACUCCAAGGGAAAUCCUUGACUCCAUCCCUGCUGCUGAGGUAUUUGUGGUGGCUGGGUGUGGGGAAGGUGUGGGAUGUCUGGGGAGGCAGGCGGCACAGCUCAGUUCCAUGCAUGGCAUCCAAGGCCUCGUGUCACAGAGCAGCUUCUGCCCAUUUCUCACUGGUAAUGUAUUUGUGUC
ensembl:lncRNA